AGACCCGAAACCCGGUGAUCUAGCCAUGGGCAGGUUGAAGGUUGGGUAACACUAACUGGAGGACCGAACCGACUAAUGUUGAAAAAUUAGCGGAUGACCUGUGGCUGGGGGUGAAAGGCCAAUCAAACCGGGAGAUAGCUGGUUCUCCCCGAAAGCUAUUUAGGUAGCGCCUCGUGAAUUCAUCUCCGGGGGUAGAGCACUGUUUCGGCUAGGGGGCCAUCCCGGCUUACCAACCCGAUGCAAACUGCGAAUACCGGAGAAUGUUAUCACGGGAGACACACGGCGGGUGCUAACGUCCGUCGUGAAGAGGGAAACAACCCAGACCGCCAGCUAAGGUCCCAAAGUCAUGGUUAAGUGGGAAACGAUGUGGGAAGGCCCAGACAGCCAGGAUGUUGGCUUAGAAGCAGCCAUCAUUUAAAGAAAGCGUAAUAGCUCACUGGUCGAGUCGGCCUGCGCGGAAGAUGUAACGGGGCUAAACCAUGCACCGAAGCUGCGGCAGCGACGCUGAUGCGUUGUUGGGUAGGGGAGCGUUCUGUAAGCCUGCGAAGGUGUGUCGUGAGGCAUGCUGGAGGUAUCAGAAGUGCGAAUGCUGACAUAAGUAACGAUAAAGCGGGUGAAAAGCCCGCUCGCCGGAAGACCAAGGGUUCCUGUCCAACGUUAAUCGGGGCAGGGUGAGUCGACCCCUAAGGCGAGGCCGAAAGGCGUAGUCGAUGGGAAACGGGUUAAUAUUCCCGUACUUGGUGUUACUGCGAAGGGGGGACGGAGAAGGCUAUGUUGGCCGGGCGACGGUU
rnacentral:rRNA from 2 species